UACGUAGGGUGCAAGCGUUGUCCGGAAUUAUUGGGCGUAAAGAGCUCGUAGGCGGUCUGUCGCGUCGGACGUGAAAAUCCAGGGCUCAACCCUGGACCUGCGUUCGAUACGGGCAGACUAGAGUUCGGUAGGGGAGACUGGAAUUCCUGGUGUAGCGGUGAAAUGCGCAGAUAUCAGGAGGAACACCAAUAGCGAAGGCAGCUCGCUGGGACGGUAUUGACGCUGAGGCGCGAAAGCGUGGGGAGCAAACAGG
rnacentral:rRNA from 1 species